rnacentral:rRNA from 1 species
GACGAACGCUGGCGGCGUGCUUAACACAUGCAAGUCGAACGGUGAAGCGCCUUCCUUUUUGGUGGGUGUGGAUGAGUGGCGAACGGGUGAGUAACACGUGAGUAACCUGCCCCCUUCUUCUGGAUAACCGCAUGAAAGUGUGGCUAAUACGGGAUAUUCUGGGUCUGUCGCAUGAUGGGUCUGGGAAAGAUAUUGUUUCGGUGGGGGAUGGGCUCGCGGCCUAUCAGCUUGUUGGUGGGGUGAUGGCCUACCAAGGCGGUGACGGGUAGCCGGCCUGAGAGGGUGGACGGUCACACUGGGGCUGAGACACGGCCCAGACUCCUACGGGAGGCAGCAGUGGGGAAUAUUGCACAAUGGGCGAAAGCAUGAUGCAGCGACGCCGCGUGAGGGAUGGAGGCCUUCGGGUUGUGAACCUCUUUCGCCAGUGAAGCAGGCCUGCCUCGUUUGUGGGUGGGUUGACGGUAGCUGGAUAAGAAGCGCCGGCUAACUACGUG